UACGGAGGAUGCAAGCGUUAUCCGGAAUGAUUGGGCGUAAAGCGUCCGCAGGUGGCAAUGUAAGUCUGCUGUUAAAGAGUCUAGCUCAACUAGAUAAAAGCAGUGGAAACUACAUAGCUAGAGUACGUUCGGGGCAGAGGGAAUUCCUGGUGUAGCGGUGAAAUGCGUAGAGAUCAGGAAGAACACCAGUGGCGAAGGCGCUCUGCUAGGCCGUAACUGACACUGAGGGACGAAAGCUAGGGGAGUGAAUGGG
rnacentral:rRNA from 1 species